UACGAAGGGAGCUAGCGUUGUUCGGAAUCACUGGGCGUAAAGCGCACGUAGGCGGAUGUGUCAGUCAGGGGUGAAAUCCCGGAGCUCAACUUCGGAACUGCCCUUGAUACAGCACGUCUUGAGUCCGGAAGAGGUGGGUGGAAUUCCUAGUGUAGAGGUGAGAUUCGUAGAUAUUAGGAAGAACACCGGUGGCGAAGGCGGCCCACUGGUCCGGUACUGACGCUGAGGUGCGAAAGCGUGGGGAGCAAACAGG
rnacentral:rRNA from 1 species